AAAAAAGGUAAGCUACUAAGAGCGAAUGGUGGAUGCCUUGACUGGUAAAGGCGAUGAAGGACGUACUAGACUGCGAUAAGCUACGGGGAGCUGUCAAGAAGCUUUGAUCCGUAGAUUUCCGAAUGGGGCAACCCAAUGUAUAGAGAUAUACAUUACCUAUAUAGGAGCGAACGAGGGGAAUUGAAACAUCUUAGUACCCUCAGGAAAAGAAAUCAAUAGAGAUUGCGUCAGUAGCGGCGAGCGAAAGCGCAAGAGGGCAAACCCAGUGCUUGCACUGGGGGUUGUAGGACUGCAAUGUGCAAGAGGUAAGUUUAGCAGAACAUUCUGGAAAGUAUAACCAUAGAGGGUGAUAGUCCCGUAUGCGAAAAACAAACCUUAGCUAGCAGUAUCCUGAGUAGGGCGGGACACGAGGAAUCUUGUCUGAAUCCGGGUCGACCACGAUCCAACCCUAAAUACUAAUACCAGAUCGAUAGUGCACAAGUACCGUGAGGGAAAGGUGAAAAGAACUGAGGUGAUCAGAGUGAAAUAGAACCUGAAACCAUUUGCUUACAAUCAUUCAGAGCCCUAUGUAGCAAUACAGGGUGAUGGACUGCCUUUUGCAUAAUGAGCCUGCGAGUUGUGGUGUCUGGCAAGGUUAAGCAAACGCGAAGCCGUAGCGAAAGCGAGUCUGAAUAGGGCGCUUAGUCAGAUGCUGCAGACCCGAAACGAAGUGAUCUAUCCAUGAGCAAGUUGAAGCUAGUGUAAGAACUAGUGGAGGACUGAACCCAUAGGCGUUGAAAAGCCCCGGGAUGACUUGUGGAUAGGGGUGAAAGGCCAAUCAAACUUCGUGAUAGCUGGUUCUCUCCGAAAUAUAUUUAGGUAUAGCGUUGUGUCGUAAUAUAAGGGGGUAGAGCACUGAAUGGGCUAGGGCAUACACCAAUGUACCAAACCCUAUCAAACUCCGAAUACCUUAUAUGUAAUCACAGCAGUCAGGCGGCGAGUGAUAAAAUCCGUCGUCAAGAGGGAAACAACCCAGACUACCAGCUAAGGUCCCUAAAUCUUACUUAAGUGGAAAACGAUGUGAAGUUACUUAAACAACCAGGAGGUUGGCUUAGAAGCAGCCAUCCUUUAAAGAAAGCGUAAUAGCUCACUGGUCUAGUGAUUUUGCGCGGAAAAUAUAACGGGGCUAAAGU
rnacentral:rRNA from 1 species